rnacentral:rRNA from 1 species
GCAACCUGAGGAUUGUGCGGUUUAAUUGGAUUCAACGCCGGAAAACUCACCAUAGCCGACGGACAAAUGAAGGUCAGUGUAAUGAACUUACCGGAUUGUUCGAGAGGUAGUGCAUGGCCGCCGUCAGUUCGUACCGCAAGGCGUUCUGUUAAGUCAGAUAACGAACGAGACCCUCAUCUCUAUUUGCUAACUGAAUCUCCGGAUUCAGUGCACUAUAGAGAGACCGCUGGCGCUAAGUCAGAGGAAGGGGAGGGCAACGGUAGGUCAGUAUGCUCCGAAUGCUAUGGGCUACACGCGCAAUACAAAGGACGGGACAAUGGGCUGCUGCUCCGAAAGGAACGAUAGCUAUCCCGAAACCCGUUCGUAGUUCGGAUUGAGGGCUGUAACUCGCCCUCAUGAAGCUGGAUUAGGUAGUAAUCGCGUCUCAAAAAGGCGCGGUGAAUAUGCCCCUGCUCCUUGCACACACCGCCCGUCAAACCAUCUUAGUUGGGGGUGGGUGAGGCUGCGCUUUAUGGCGUAUUCGAGCCUGCCUUCGACAAGGAGGGUUAAGUCGUAACAAGGUAUCUGUAGGGGAACCUGCAGAUG